GCUAGGCUAGCUCAGUCAGUAGCACAUGAGACUCUUAAUCUCAGGGUUGUGGGUUCAAGCCCCACGUUGGGCA